rnacentral:lncRNA from 1 species
CUCCUGUGUCAUCAUCCAGUAUUUAUGCUGCAGUAGUUUUUGUGUCGGGGGGCUAGGAGGACCUGAGCCCUAGGACCAUGCCUCGGGACUACCUGGCAUGAUGACUCCUUGCUGUCCCCAGUCCACCUGGCCGUGCUGCUGCUCCAGUUUCACCUGUUCUGCCUGCGGCUAUGGAACCCUGACCUGUUCACCGGACAUGCUACCUGUCCCAGACCUGCUGUUUUCAACUCUCUAGAGACAGCAGGAGCGGUAGAGAACUCUCAAUGAUCGGCUAUGAAAAGCCAAAUGACAUUUACUCUUGAGGUGCUGACUUGUUGCACCCUCGACAACUACUGUGAUUAUUAUUAUUUGACCAUGCUGGUCAUUUAUGAAUAUUUGAACAUCUUGGCCAUGUUCUGUUAUAAUCUCCACCCGGCACAGCCAGAAGAGGACUGGCCACCCCUCAUAACCUGGUUCCUCUCUAGGUUUCUUCCUAGGUUUUGGCCUUUCUAGGGAGUUUUUCCUAGCCACCGUGCUUCUACACCUGCAUUGCUUGCUGUUUAGGGUUUUAGGAUGGGUUUCUGAACAACACUUUGAGAUAUCAGCUGAUGUAGGAAAGACUAUAUAAAUACAUUUGAUUUGAUUUAUGCCAACAACUGAUAUGCCAAAUGUUAUGAAAAACUACAUACCAACUGUUAUUGACUAUAUUUUUACAUACUAACUGUUAUAUCAACUAAAUAACUACAUACCAACUGGUAUUCCGACUACAUUGCUAAAUACGAACUGUUAUAACAACUACGUAACUUCAUACUAAAUGUUAUACCAACUACAUAACUACAAAUAAACUGUUAAACCAACUAAA